GGAGAAGGCAGGAGAAUGGGGUUGAGAGAGAAAGAUAGAUCAGACAUGAUUGAAUGGGGUAGUAGACUUGAUGGGCCGAAUGGCCUAAUUCUGUUCAUAGAACAUAUGAACUUAUAAACUCAUGAAC